rnacentral:rRNA from 1 species
AGCAGCCGCGGUAAUUCCAGCUCCAAUAGCGUAUAUUAAAGUUGUUGCAGUUAAAAAGCUCGUAGUUGAAUUUCGGGACCAAUAUGUCGGUCGUGCUUCGGUACGUACUUGCAUUAUUGGUUUCUCCCUUCUGAGGAACCAUGAUGUCAUUAAUUUGGUGUCGUGGGAAAUCAGAACUGUUACUUUGAAAAAAUUAGAGUGUUUAAAGCAGGCUCGCGCUUGAAUACAUUAGCAUGGAAUAAUGAAAUAGGACGUUUGAUUCUAUUUUGUUGGUUUCUAGGAUCGACGUAAUGAUUAAUAGGGAUAGUUGGGGGCAUUAGUAUUCAAUUGUCAGAGGUGAAAUUCUUGGAUUUAUUGAAGACUAACUACUGCGAAAGCAUUUGCCAAGGAUGUUUUCAUUAAUCAAGAACGAAAGUUAGGGGAUCGAAGACGAUCAGAUACCGUCGUAGUCUUUAAACCAUAAACUAUGCCGACUAGGGAUCGGAUGAUGUUAUUUUUGAUUGAUCAUUCGCGUACCG